CGCGUAGGCGGACCUUUAAGUUGGGGGGUGAAAUUCCGAGGCUUAACCUCGGAACUGCCUCCAAAAACUGGGGGGUCUUGAGGUAUGGAGAGGGAAGUGGAAUUCCUGGUGUAGCGGUGAAAUGCGUAGAUAUCAGGAGGAACACCCGUGGCGAAGGCGGCUUCCUGGCCAUAUCCUGACGCUGAGGUGCGAAAGCUAGGGGAGCGAACGGGAUUAGAUACCCCGGUAGUCCUAGCCGUAAACGAUGGAUACUAGGUGUUAGUGGUAUCGACCCCACUAGUGCCGCAGCUAAACGCAAUAAGUAUCCCGCCUGGGGAGUACGGCCGCAAGGUUGAAA
rnacentral:rRNA from 1 species